UGUAGCCCCCUCGCCAGUGGCCGAUCGUUGGGGCCGAGUAUUGUCCGAAAGGCCAAAAAAAAAAGGAAAGAGGGAGGUUGGGGGACAGCUACGUGACCGGGAGAGGAUUUAUAACAUUUUCUUUUGCCACCGACAAUAUUGCAAAAUGUAUGAAAGAGACAGCAUCGCUGGGACAGGAGCGUGAGGGCGCGGGCAAGCGUUUCUCCCCCUACCGGAAAUCUGAUGGGCUUAUGACAUCAUGGCUGGCUGCUGAGCGAUGAAGUGGAUGCCACAAAGAAAUCCGACAUAUCAGAUGGCUUCUGAAAUCAGUUCCCCUCCGGCUGUAGUAACAGGCCUGAAGUCAGGAGAAUGUGAGCUUUGUUUAAAAAA